rnacentral:lncRNA from 1 species
GAGUCGUCAAUCUUGAUUUGCUGAAUGUUUUUACAUUUGAUCCUCAAAUUUUAUUUACAAGAUCACCUCCGGAUGUGUUAUUAGAUGAUCAAAGCCGAUAAGUCAACUGAAUCUGAUGCUAAAGCUGCUCUUCUGAAAUUAAAGCAGAAGGAGCAGGUGAGUUGAGCAGCUAAUUGACAAUUUACUGAUCACAGGAAUGGAAACAUUUUAGCCUUUAUAUCAUCCUGUAGCUCACCAUUUUGUGUGCAGGAAGUUGAGAGGAGGGCUCGGAAACAAUUUAAGGGAUUAUUUGACAAGAAACCUGGGGAAAUUGCUGAUAUUGU